UACGGAGGGUGCGAGCGUUGUCCGGAAUCAUUGGGCGUAAAGGGCGCGUAGGUGGCCCGGUGAGUCUUUGGUGAAAGCGCGGGGCUCAACCCUGCGUCGGCCAGGGAUACUGCCGCGGCUCGAGCACUGUAGAGGCAGGCGGAAUUCCGGGUGUAGCGGUGGAAUGCGUAGAGAUCGGAAGAACACCGGUGGCGAAGGCGGGUCUCUGGGCCGAUACUGACGCUGAGACGCGAAAGCGUGGGGAGCGAA
rnacentral:rRNA from 1 species